GAUCAGUGAUGAAAAAUAGCCAAAUCUGAGCGUCAGAAGACCUUCCAGUCUUCCUGAUGCAUGAUCACUAUAGUUCUGAGA
ensembl:snoRNA